rnacentral:lncRNA from 1 species
CGGGUUCAUUGAUUCAUGCACUGAUGUUGUAUAUCAUCAUGUUCACUUUGUGUGGUUUUUGAAGCAUCAACUUUUGGGUUACUAUUCACUUGCAUUACAUGGACUCACAGCAUUUAAUUUUUUAUAAUUUUUUAAAGAUCUUUGUGUUUUAUUUGGCAAAGCAUGAGUAAAUGAUGAGAGAAUUUAAUUUUUUUGGGUGGAGCAUCCCUUUAAUGGAAAGAACAGCAAACUACAGGAGAGCCCAGUAUAACUCCCUCUUUCCAAAAAAGGGGCGGAGAAUGGAUUAUGUGGCAAAACCGUGGUUUGUCCUGAGGAGAAUCUGUACACUGUGCAUGCUCUGCCAGCUCUCACACUUCAUUAUUCAACACAUACACACACUCACACACACAUACCGAAAGCACAGAAAAGCUCUUUGGGCUUCUGAGAGGAUGUAUUUUUAGAGUGAUGAAAUCUCAUGACCAGACUGAGGCUGCAUGUCUCACUCUUUGCACCAGGCACUGUCCUUCCACCAUCUCUCAUCCGCUCACUCAAGACCUUCACCGGAUAAUGAGGCAAUGUGGGUGGAAGCAGCAACACAGUAGAGAUCCUGAGCAUGUUUGUAAAGGCAGGUUUUCAGGAGACGAGACAACGCCCUGGGACAUUUUUCCUUCUUAUUCACUGAAAAAGAACCCAUUACGUAAUAGUGCUCGCCUGUGCAGAAAGUGUGAGCCGACAGCCUGACUGAUCCAGUUUAAAUGCGAGCACGCAUGACAGCAGACGGGAUGGGAGGAGGUGGAGGAGGGUGCGAGCGAUGCAAUAUGCAUUUCACUAGAAGGGUUUAUCUUGCUCUGUGCUCACAGUGAAGUUCACUACAUACAGUAUGAUGUGUAUCUCACUAUGCAUUGCCUUAUUUUCCUGAUCCAAAAGACUGACAAUGACAAAAGACUGAUUUGUAAAACUUGAUCUAAUAUUUAAACUUUUUUAAAUGUUAUAGGUUUAUAUAGCUCAUGAGAACACUUGAACACCUAUUGCAUUUAUCUACACUUUGAUAUAUAUGUGAUAUAUAUAUAUAUAUAUAUAUAUACUAAAUGAGUUAUUUUUGGUGCAUCAUUUGCUAAAGUAUUUGAAAGUUAUGCAAAAAAAUAAAAUAAAAAUAAAAAUUUUGUACAUCAAUCAAUCAAUCAAUCAAUCAAAUAACAUCAUUAAAAUAAAAUUCUAUAUCACUUUUGCCCCUUAUAUCUACACUAUAUAGUGAUCCUCUGGUUGAUUUUUAAUCAAAACAAUAUUGUUUUAUCUCCUUUUAUGUUGCCCCAUAAAUUUUUUUACAAAAAUUAGUCAUCACAUAUGAUUGUAAAUGGUACUUUAUAGUCCCAUAUACCAACCUCACUGGAAACAUCUUCCUUAUCUUAUGCUUUUUUAAUCAGGGAACACUUUCCCUCUUUCUCUUCCGCUCCCUAUGAAUGUUUGCAGCCCUGAGGCCAGAGAGGGAGCAGCAGUUCAGAAACUUCACAUAAAUGCCCAGCACUCAUCAUAUGCAGACUCUCACACAUUCUCCACAGCUCUCAGGCUCUGUGUGAGUGUUAGAUAAGUCAAGUAGGCUGGAUGUGUGCUGAGAACGAGGCUCAGCAUAUUACUGCACUCUAUCACUGUAAUAUCCCCAUAUCAUUUUAAGCCUGAUAGAAGGGUCUAAAGUAUAGUAAGUGGAAGUAUAAAGUGGAAGAUUUUGAAAGACAGCUCUGUAAUGUGGUGUAAGAUUUAAACAGAAGGUGAAACUGGCCUAUUUGCUCCUCUAUCACUUUAUGUUCCUGUGAUUCAGUAAAAUAUUAGCUGGUUGGAAGAUCCAGUGAAAGUUGAUCGGUAAAAAUGUAAAGUAUUUAUAUGUUGCACAACAGAGUUCAGGAAUGCAAUGUCAUGAAUCAGAAGAGCUUCAUUCAGUGAUAAAAAGACCAUACACCCUUCCAGUCUUUGGGGCAUAAUAAAAAGGAUUUACAGGGCAAGAGCUCAUUCCCGGUAAGUGAUCUGCAGUUUUUCCUGUUUCAGAGCAGGCCAUGUGACCUAUUGUGGAGUCAGACCCGAACUGAGUCUGACCUGGAGCUAAAGGUCCACUACUUUCAAUCCA